AACGUAGGUACCGAGCGUUAUCCGGAUUUACUGGGCGUAAAGCGCGUUCAGGCGGCUUGACAAGUCGGGCAUGAAAUCUCUCGGCUCAACCGGGAGGGGCUGUCCGAUACUGUCUGGCUUGAGGGCAGUAGAGGGUGGUGGAAUUCCGGGUGUAGUGGUGAAAUGCGUAGAUAUCCGGAGGAACACCAGUGGCGAAAGCGGCCACCUGGACUGUACCUGACGCUCAAACGCGAAAGCUAGGGGAGCGAACGGG
rnacentral:rRNA from 1 species